GGCUCUGCGCGCUGCAGGGCGCGGCACCGCCUCCCAGCUUCGGCUGGGGCCGGGGCCAUGGGCACGGUGAGCGGCGGAGGCGCCCUGCGGCUGCCGGGGCUGCACGGAUACGCGGCGGAGUUCUCGCCCUACUGGCCGGGGCGCGUGGCCUGCGCCGCCGCGCAGUACUACGGCAUCGCAGGUUGUGGAACUCUGGCAGUGCUGGAACAAAACGAAGCUGGGAUUGUCCUACUCAGGAGCUUUGACUGGAAUGAUGGCCUGUUUGAUGUGACGUGGAGCGAGAAUAAUGAGCAUGUGUUGAUCACUUCUAGCGGGGAUGGAUCUCUGCAAAUCUGGGAUAUAGCUAAGCCCAAAGGUCCGCUGCAAGUCUAUAAAGAGCACACUCAGGAGGCAUAUAGUGUUGACUGGAGCCAAACUAGAGGAGAGCAGCUAGUCGUUUCUGGUUCAUGGGAUCAAACAGCCAAGCUGUGGGAUCCAGCAGUGGGAAAGUCUUUACGCACUUUUAAAGGCCAUGACGGGGUCAUUUACAGCACUAUAUGGUCUCCACACAUCCCUGGUUGUUUUGCAUCUGCUUCAGGUGACCAGACUUUAAGAAUUUGGGAUGUGAAAGCCCCAGGAGUCAGACUUGUGAUACCAGCCCACCAGGCUGAGAUCUUGAGCUGUGACUGGUGCAAGUAUGAUGAGAACUUGCUGGUAACUGGUGCGGUUGACUGCAGUUUGAAAGGCUGGGAUUUGCGAAAUGUCCGGCAGCCAGUGUUCAUCCUGCUUGGUCAUACCUAUGCUGUCAGAAGAGUGAAAUUUUCACCUUUCCAUGCAACUUUAUUGGCCUCUUGCUCCUAUGAUUUUACUGUGAGAUUCUGGGACUUUUCCAAGCCUAACCCUUUGCUGGAAACGGUUGAGCAUCAUACUGAAUUUACAUGUGGACUAGAUUUAAGCCUUCACAAAUGUGGCCAGGUGCAUAUUUAUUUAUAAAGCAGUUACUUGUGUUGAGCCGGAGAAGAGGACAGAACUGACAGAAUUACCAAAUCAGGUAGCUGAAAGCCAUGGCAAGCUCGUGGAAAAUGAGGUGGCUUUAUUUUGGAAGGAAGAGUAAUGGAGAAUGGUCUAGGAUACCAAACAAAGACAUGGAGCUGUGUUCCAUCUACUUGAAAAGUUAAGGUGGUAGACUGUGCUUGGGAUGAACUUGUCAAGAUCUACACUCCAUCAUGUCUGGCAGCUGCUGCCUAGAGAGAAAUUGAAGAUCUGACACACUGGGAACCUUUUUGUCACCGUCCACAAUGAGACUUGUGCUAAACUGUCAAUUGUGUCACUAAUCUUUGUGUCUUUUUUUAAGUAAAAGUCUGAACUGAGGUGUUAUGCACUUGAGCUUGUAGACUUGUUCUACCAGACAAGUAGUACUUGGGUCAGCAAAAUGUUCAACAGCUACUGAUUGGCUAAGGAGUGACAGAAGCAAAUAUGAACUGGUGUCUUCAGAACUACCAACAAAAUUUUGUGAUUUGUCUGGCUAAUGGGGCAAACAGAGGCCAGAAUCUUUGUGACUUGUAUAAAGAAUAAAAGUAGCUGGUGGUGCAUUUGGAGAUUGUCACUGUAGAAAAAGAAGAGUCUUUUCACUAUAAAGUACUUUAAUGUCAACCUGAGGCUUGUAUCCCUGAAAUCCGUUUAUAUUGAAUCGUUUUGCUGUGACUCACAUUGCAUUAUCUUCUUGUCCAAUAUGAUGAAUACUCUUGAUAGACAGUAAAUGUCAUAGUUUAUAGCCAGCUGAUUCUUUUAACCUUUUUGAUUGCUGCUUCAAAGAGAUGGUAAAGAUUAUUUUCAUACAUUUUUCUCUUGGAUCUUCUUGAGUAAAACAGUUAAUGAAGUCAUGCAGAAAAAUACUCUAGGGAAACAGAGAAAACACUUAGGAAAAAAUGAAUUAUAAACAACCCUAACUGGAUCACAAUCUUCAAGAUUUAGAGAUAUGAUAACCAUCUCUUCUAUUAGAUUUAUCUUUUACUUUCACUUAGAGAGUUUUUCCAAGAGAUAGGAGUGUGGCCAUACAUUCAGCGUUUCUGGAGCUCCCACAGUCUGGCCAAAGUUGAGAGCUGAUGUCCAGACCAGGUGAACAUACACACGUGUGGAUUAACUGCAUGGCAUAAGCACAGCGGCUCCAGAGUAGCCAAGCUAUUAUCAGAUGUGCAAGAAUAUGCCCAACAUUUUAUAGCUGUAGUAGUUUCUAUGCUCACUUUGACUCCUCAGCUCACGUGGUGCGAUUUUGGCAGGAGGGUUGGAACUAGAUGAUCUUUAAGGUCCCUUCCAACCCAAGGCUGCUCUCUUGGUCUCAUGCCAGCCAUUCACACCCCUCCUUUUCUCACUUUUUUUUUCCCUAAACGUUAUUAAAACUGUCUCAUUUCUGCUGCUACCCCAUAUCACCAGACUUCAUCAUUAAAAAAUUGCAGGUGCCAAUUUUUCUGCCAGGUUUUUAUGGUCUUCUGUUAAUGAAUGCUGUACGCUGCUGGGUUGCACCACUCAUAUAUCAAGCAAUAGCAGACACUGCCAGACCUGCUGGAUGAAGAAAUGAAAGGAAGAAUUCUGCAGAGCUAAGACUUGCAAGUUGCAAGGAAAGAGUUAUUGUGCUAUCUUGGAGAAUGAGCCUGGGAGCUUGCAGGCGGCCACAGAGCAAUAUGGACAUACGGACUCAGUGCUAGAACAAGACAGAAAGAAACCCCCCUUUCACAAGAUGAAAAAUUUGGAUAAGUUUUUCUGGAUCAGUGCAAACUGGCCCUGGAAUGCCAUCUUGUUAAGGUGAAUGAAAUACAAAGCAAAGUAGAUUUUCUGUUGUACCAAACAGUUGAACCAAAUUCCACGUUUAUUGCACUUCUGUGUGAUGAGGAAUGAUGCAACCAUAAAGCUAUGCUAUGUAGAGCUUUCAGCAAUAUUAUGGGCCAUAAAAUCUCAUUGUAGGUAUUAAAUUUAUUAUUUUGGCCUUAACAGUAAUUCCAGUUUUCUGCUCUAUCCCUUUUUUCUGCUUAGACUGCAAGUUACUUGAGUGAGUGGUAUAUUUUGGUGGUGACUGUGUAUUGUGUAUGCGUGUUUCUGUUGGGGUGGAUGUUUCUAGAAUAUUGCCGUAGUUUAUUGGUUAGAAAGGCAGAUUUGUAAAAAUGAACACAGGGAAAGAAACAGUGCCCAUUCUGAUCACGCACACUCAACGCAUGGAUUAAACCUUUUCCUUACAGCCUUCACUUCCCCUCGUAUCCAGGUUAGCUUCUGUGCUGAAGUUUGCUGGGAUUUAAUUCUCUUGAAAAAUGGAUGAAUCCAGAAGAUGUGUAAAGUGAACAAAAACUGUGGCCUUUACUCUUCCUGUUUGAUCUUUGAAUGGGGAGAACAUGCUGUAAUCUUUUGCACUGUAACAGAAAAAAAUCUUUCAAUAGUUGUUGCUGAAUCUUAAUUCUCAGGGAAUCGUUAAAAAAAAUUCCCCAUUUAAUGUCCACUGUACUAGCUUCUGAUCUUUGUUUUUUGUUUCUAUUGAAACAGGCCUUUGACUAUGGCAAUCGCAAAGAUACGUGUUCUACUUUUAAACUUGCUCUUGUGGAAGAUUUUGUUUAAUGGGAGUGUAUAGGUUUCUUCUUGGUUCAAGAGAUGUAUUGAUUAAUCAUGUUUUAAAGGAGUGGAUUUGUUAUUCUGCAGUGCUAUUAAAUUAAUUGCAUACGGUA